rnacentral:tRNA from 1 species
GGGCGUGUGGCGGAAUGGCAGACGCAGCGGACUUAAAAUCCUCCGGGUAACUCCCGUGUGGGUUCGACUCCCACCACGCCCACCA